GUCAACUUGUUAAAAGUGCGGUCGAUGCCCACAUAACCUACACUUAAUGUCGGUACACUUGAUAAGUGUAGGGCUGGGUGAUUGCGUUCGGCUUCUGCUGCUGUUAGGGGUUUUUUGCUAUCGGGAUUUGAGUUUGGUCGGAAUUCUUGUCGGUUAAAACUGGCUUGUUGGUGUUGGCGUUGACGUCGUAUCCCCUACAAACUGACACCAAUUUCGGCGUGACUGCUUGAAAGGAAAAGUGUAACAUGAAACUGCCGAGUCCUUUCGAAUUUGAAACACCGUCUACCGGGAAAAUCUGGAAAAGGAGGAAUGGCAGUACUAUAUGCAGCUGUAAGAUGUAAUGUACAAUUAUACGUACGGCCAAGAAAUUUUUCCUGCAAAUAAGGUUCCCCAAUUAAUGCUGGAUUAGAAGUGGAUUUAUCCCUUUUCUUCCGGGCGAGCUGUUUCGUUUUUUGUCUGUGUGUGUUGGAAGACGGAGUCAAGGAGAUUGGAUGAUAUUGUUGUCGAUACGUACUGGUUUAAGUGUUAUAGUAUUUUGUUUUCAACUGUAUUUGUACGAGCACGUUAGUUGAAAUUACUGCCAUUUACAGUUACAAUCGGGUACAAUGAAAAACGGGCGAUGCGACUGUAACUGGAUAAAAUCUACUGUCGCAAAAACGUGUUCUUCCCUUGUCGUUGCUUCGUCUAUGUUUCCUGCCUCCGUUCUCGCCUAUGGCACAAUGCCGAUCGCGACGAAGCCUCUGCUAGCUAUUUUGGAAUCGUAGGAUUCGGAACAUAACUGGCUCUGCCUUCGUAAGCGGACGCAUCCUCCGUAUCCCAAGACUCCAGCAAGCAGAGUUUCAUAGCCGGGCCGUGAAGUUCGGAGGUUUGGUAGCCGAACGAGGGUGAACCAUCGUGGAACGGACUACUCCAUCUGGGCCGGAAAAAAACUUUGACGACACGAGCGAUUGGUCAUUCUCCACGGGGUGCAUCUGGCUCGAUAACGAUCACGACGUAACCAACAUUGAGAUACUUUUGUCCGUGUAGCCAUUUUCGUCGUUCUGUAAGGCUGGGAAGAUAUUCUCUCAUCCAACGUCUCCAGAAACAAUCAGUGAGGUACUGAGCGAUGCGGUACUUCCUUUUGGUCGUCAUAUCGUUAUUGUCGAACAGAUCAAAAGGUAUGUACGGAUUUUCGUGUCAAAGGAGAAGAAGAUUUGGCGGGAUAGUUUCAGGGUCCACCGGGUUUUCACUUACAUACGUUAACGGGCGGCUUUUUAGAAGUAUCUUCACUUGAAUUAGUGUGGUGACUAGUGUAUGGUCGGUCAGAGUUUGCCCGUUGAGUACGAAUCUUACGGUACAUUUUGACGAUUGAACUAGACGUUCCCAGGCUCCACCAAAGUGUGGCGCCGCUGGUGGGUUGAAAGUCCGAAGUUAAAGUCUUUCGUUUUCGCCCAUCUAGUAGGGCUAGCUGUUCCAUACGACGAAGGAACUCGACAAAUUCACGCACAGCUCCAACAAAGUUGGUGCCAUUAUCACUGUGAUAAUGUUUGGGUGUUAUACGGCGAUCUUCGAAACGACUGAUUCGGUUAAUGAAUGAAGAAGUGUCAAGAGAGGAUGACAUUUCCAGGUGCACGGCUCUUGAUGACAUGCAAGUAAACAAACAGCAUUCUGCAUUCUUGAUCUCUGCUUCCGAUAGUUUGCCUAAUUCACGAUGGGUUUUCCCUUUCCGUGCAUUAUUAAUGAAACGUUUGGCACAGCCGACGACGCCGACUGAAAACUGAUAGCGGGAAGUGUACGUGGUGAGCCGGUCGAUGGGAUCGUUUACGUUUGCUGUCGCACCAACCCAUCUCGUACAGCGAACUUCGGGAUCGUCUAUUUCGUCGAUUCCCUGUUUUACAUCGGUGAAGGCCGACCAGUUUUGUGCUGAUUGAUAGAGGAAAGAUGGUGCAGUAGAGAAACGAUGCUCGAUGGAAAAUUCUUGGGCAGUGACGCCGUGGCUGACCUCUUCUGCUGGGUUUUGAGUUUUAGGGACAUAUUGCCAUUAUGAUGUAUGACUACUUCCAACGUAAAUAUGAAACCGAUAAUGUGGAGAGUUGAUCCAUCUAAAAACCGUUGUGGAAUCUGACCAGAAUGUGGUUUGGUUGAUUUUUUGUCGGAGUUCUGACUUGAUGACGGAUGCUAGACUGGUGGCUAGUAAUGCUGCACGUAGCUCAAGACUGGGUAUCGAAAUGUGUUUGAUGGGUGCUACUCUUGCCUUGGCUAUGACAAAUCACACCUUUACGCUGUCGGGAUUUUCCAAACGGAGAUAGGCGAUGGCAACAAAUGCUGAUUAGAAUGCGUCAGUAUACAGAUGAAGUCCCACACCUCGCGCUUAGCUCUGGGUUGAAACAUCGUGGGACGGAAAGCGGAUUUAGCUUUGAGAGAAUGGCGGCUUAAUGUUGCCAUUCAUCGACGGUCGUCUGGUCUAGUUGAUCGUACCAGCCCACCGAUUUUCUGCAUACAGCUUGCAGGAUUGGUUUUUCAUGUAGCAACACCGGUGAAAGAAAACCAAAUGGGUCGUAGACGCUUGACGUUUCUCGUAGUAUUUCUCGUUUCGUCUAUCCAUCGAUUUUUAUGCUUGCACUCACCACAAAAAAGUCGUUGCAGUAAUCGAGUGAGAGGCCUAUCGUCCGCUUUAUGGGCAUUCCGUGUAGAGCGAAAUCGAUGGAUGAUACUGGAUUGCCAGGCAACGAUAACAUAGCCUUUGGUCUUGAUAAACCCCACUGGGCUUGCUGAAUAGCUUCUUUGGCAGUCGGGAAAGACGUCAACCAAUUAUCUACGUAAAAAUGGCCGAUUAUUUGGUUGGUAACAACGGCCACAUCGGUCCCACCGUCUUAGGCUGCUUGACGUAGAACGGGAGCACAAUUUGUCGGAGAGCAAACUGCGUGGAAGGGUUACACGUUCAUUUGGUAGAUGGCAGGUGGCUCUUGAAUUCCCGGGUCGCGAUAGAAGAAGCGAAGUUCCGGCCCGUCUUGUGGCCGCACUUUUACCUGGUAGAACAUUUUAACAAUAUCCGCGCUCUACGCUUUUGGAUGUGGUCGGAAACGAAGCAGCAAACCAAUUAAAUUGGUCAGCAAGUCGGGUCAUUUCAACAGGACAGAAUUCAGCGACAUUCCCUUGUAUUACUCCGAGGCAUCAAAGACCGGGCGGCAUUUUUCAGGUUUCUUCGGAUUUUUCACCGGAUGGUGAGGUAGAAACCAGGUUCGACCCGCUGGUCGCAAGUUGACCUCCUCGGCUGAGAGUUUUCGGGGGUGACCCAUGCUGAUAUACUCGUUGAUUGCAGAGGAGUAUCUUAUACCAAGUUUCUCGUCGGCGAUGAGUCUUCGUUCUAGCUUGAAGAAGCGCAAUAAAGUAGAUUGACUGUUAUCGAGAAGGAUUGGUUCCUCGUUUUUCCAGAGAAGUUCUGACUCGUAUCGAUCGCCUACGAAUUUUUUCGUCUUGCUUAGGACCUUGUUCGCUUGUAAUUUUUCGUCGUUAACCGGCACCUUGACACCUGCUCGGGCUUCGUAAGUCUUGGUGAGGAGGAAGCGAUCAAUUGAAUUAACAAGAUCUUGGUCGGGUAGGGUUGCUAACGAGAGCGAGUUGCACUGUAGUUGUGCAACGGCGGCCUGGGAGAUCGGCCCGGCUAUACACCAUCCACAGGCUGUUCGUAGCUCUCACAGGACCUGCUCGUUCAAAGUUUCUCUUUUGAUUUCCAGGACCUCUUGCGGUGCCAUAUCACACGAGCCGAUCAACACAUUCACGUCGACGGAAUUUUGGGCGGGAACUUUUAAUCCGGCUUGAUGGGGCAAAUCCUUAACCAACUUCUUUAGGUCCAUGUUUUCGUUUUUUAUUUUUAGGACAGGAACGAAGUAGCAGUUCGGGAUUUCAAAGGUACUGCUUUUUUCUAAAGAAGAGACUCUGAACGACACCUUUGUCGUGUUUGUUGUUGUUUCGCGGCAGUCGUACGUCCCGAUUCUUGAAAUUCCCCGUUCGCCUUGAAGUCCAAAUGCGGAUGCAAGUGUGUUGGUUAUCAUUUAAAUUUGACUUCCAGGAUCCAGAAAUCCAUAUCCAUUCCAGGUUCGGCCAUUAGCUUCAAUUAGCAUUGGGACGAUAGGCAGCAAGGUUGUUUCAUUUUUGUAGCCGUGGCAGACUAAGCCAUUUAACGGACCCUUUGGGGAAGGGGAUGCCAUCGGGCUCGAUCGCGGCGUUUUCUGGUACAUCCUCGGUGCUCCAUGGAGAAGAGGGUGGUGAAGACGUCUACACUCGUCAGUUCUACAUUCCUCUUCCUGGUACACUCGAAACUUAGAUGGCAGUCGUCUAGACACUGGUAACAACAUAUUUUCUCUUUAACAAUUUCUGAUGGUUCCGUAGAAUUUAAGGCUCUAAGCUUCUCGCAGAGAUAAAGACGAUAGGCACCGUCACAAUUUGGGCAAGACGCGAUCUUUACGGUGGUGGAAAAGACCAAGGGAAUCGUGUUCGAUUUGUUCUGUUUUUCGUUCGACGAUCUGUGGACGUUUUCUCGAGUUUUCGGAUUACUGCCUUGCUGGGCCGGGUGGUUGACGCCAACACGGACAAAGUACUCUGCCAUCGUAACGUCAUCAAGCAACGUGUUCAGGUCGAUUAUCGUAGACAAUCUAUCUUGAAUUCGAUAGCUCACUUCGGCCCAUUUACUGCGUAAGGUGGGUGGCGAUUUUCCAGCUAAUUGAGCCAAAGUUGUGCUUCUGUAUAGUUCUAGUCCGUAUCCACCCAGUUGCAAAGUUGCGACGACUGAACGCAGUGCGGACGAAAAGUGGUUCGAACACACAAUCAAACAAUGAAACUUUUUCCGCGAUCCAUUCAACAGUUAUGAAUUUUUAAAUUUCAUUCAAAUUUCUUAUGCCUUUGGUGUGCGCGCUCAUUUUCUACACACUCACACCUAUAACUGGUACAAAUUUGGGGCCAAUGCGAAAGGCCAGAUUCGAUCUGCUUACUGUCAAAUAAAAAACUUUUAAACGAAGAUUACUACA